GACGAACGCUGGCGGCGUGCUUAACACAUGCAAGUCGAACGGAAAGGCCCUGCUUUUGUGGGGUGCUCGAGUGGCGAACGGGUGGGUAACACGUGAGUAACCUGCCCUUGACUUUGGGAUAACUUCAGGAAACUGGGGCUAAUACCGGAUAGGAGCUCCUGCUGCAUUGUGGGGGUUGGAAAGUUUCGGCGGUUGGGGAUGGACUCGCGGGUUAUCAGCUUGUUGGUGGGGUAGUGGCUUACCAAGGGCUUGACGGGUAGCCGGCAUGAGAGGGUGACCGGCCACAUUGGGACUGAGAUACGGACCAGUCUGCUACGGGAGGCAGCAGUGGGGAAUAUUGCACAAUGGGCGGAAGCCUGAUGAAGCAACGCCGCGUGCGGGAUGACGGCCUUCGGGUUGUAAACCGCUUUCGCCUGAGACGAAGCGUGAGUGACGGUAAUGGGUAAAGAAGCACCGGCUAACUACGUG
rnacentral:rRNA from 1 species